rnacentral:ncRNA from 1 species
CAAAGGUUUGGUCCUGGCCUUUUCAUUAGUUCUUAGUAAAAUUACACAUGCAAAUGUCCAUUAACCAGUGAGUACCCCCUUAAAGAUCUGAUAUUUUUCUGAUCCUGAGGAGAAGAUAUAAAGCUCUCGCAAGUAGCUCAUAACAUCUAGCUCAGCCACACCCCCACGGGAAACAGCAGUGAUAAAAAUUUAGCAAUAAACGAAAGUUUGACUAAGUUAUACUAAUUAGGGUUGGUCAAUUUCGUGCCAGCCACCGCGGUCAUACGAUUAACCCAAACUAAUGGAUCAACGGCGUAAGGCGUGUUUAGAGGAUAACAACUAAAUAAGAUUGAAUCUUAACUAAUAUGUAAAAAUUCAUAGUUUCAGAUAAAAUAUGCUACGAAAGUGAUCUUAAUAACCUUGAACACACGAAAGCUAGGAAACAAACUGGGAUUAGAUACCCCAUUAUGCCUAGCCAUUAACAGAGAUAACCUCCGAACAAGGUUACCCGCCAGAGAACUACUAGCCAUUGCUUAAAACUCAAAGGACUUGGCGGUACUUUAUAUCCACCUAGAGGAGCCUGUUCUAUAAUCGAUAUACCCCGCUUUACCUCACCUUUCCUUGCUAAUCCAGCUUAUAUACCGCCAUCUUCAGCAAACCCCUAUAGGGCGCUAAAGUAAGCCCAAUAAUUAAACAAUAAAAACGUUAGGUCAAGGUGUAGCUUAUGGAAAGGAAGUAAUGGGCUACAUUUUCUCUCAGAGAACAUACGCUAUCCUUUUUGAAACAAAAGGACAAAGGAGGAUUUAGUAGUAAAUUAAGAAUAGAGUGCUUAAUUGAAUCGAGCAAUGAAGUACGCACACACCGCCCGUCACCCUCCUCAAAUAUUAAAAUUACACACAAUACUUAAUACCUGUAAUAAAUAUAUGAGAGGAGAUAAGUCGUAACAUGGUAAGCAUACUGGAAAGUGUGCUUGGAUUAAU